GCGCAGCCAUGUUUUUGUACGGCGGGGGCGCAAAGCACCCUGGGUGCGACUGGUUUGAGUUUUUUUUUGAAGCCUUGGACGGCGGGAACUCUCAUUCUCGUCCUGGGUGAGCGAGAGGAGCGGAGCAAGGAAAUCUGGGUCCCUAUUACCGCUUUGCUGCCCAACUUCAUAGGAGGGCCUGUGGAAAUCUGAGAAGAUGGAGUGGGCGAAUGACGGCAAGACCAGAGGAGGUGUUUUAGCUCACUUGGAAAGACUAGAGAUUCAAGUGAAUAGAUCCCGUAAAAACUUAGAAGAUCUGCAGAGAGCACAGGCUGUUGAAAGCGCUCUUGGGACCAAGAUUCAUAAACUGAGAUGUCUGCGAGAUGAGCUGAGAGCUGAAGCGAAGCAACGUCAAGCCAGAGUUAAAGCAUCUACUGUCAAUGUAGAACCUGACCAAACACCAGAAAUCAGUGAGCAAGAAGUUGCAAAAAGAAGAAAGGAAAAUGUGAAAGCCAUUCUGCAGGCAUAUCGUUUUACAGGGCUCAGUGGGAAACUGACCAGCCGAGGAGUCUGUGUCUGCAUCAGCACUGCUUUUGAAGGAAAUCUGCUGGAUUCCUAUUUUAUCGACCUUGUCAUACAAAAGCCACUUCGGAUACAUCACCAUUCAAUUCCAGUCUUCAUCCCCCUAGAGGAGUUAUCUGCAAAAUACUUACAGACUAAUAUUCAGCACUUCCUGUUCUGUCUUUGUGAAUACCUAAACGCUUAUGCUGGGAGGAAGUACCAGGCAGAUCGACUUCAGAGUGACUUUGCAGCCUUUCUGGCUGGGCCCUUGCGGAGAAACUCACUGUGCAACUUGCUGUCAUUUACUUACAAAGUGGAGCCACGGGGUCAGUCAUUCCCAUUUUGUGCCAGACUGCUGUAUAAGGACCUCACGACAGCCCUGCCAACUGACGUCACCGUUACGUACCAGGGAACGGAUGCAUUAUCCUCCUCCUGGGAAGAACAGCGAGCAUCCCAUGAAAAUCUGUUUUUUUCAAAGCCCCUACAUCAAGUGUUUACUUCAUUUGCAAGAAAAGGAGAAAAGUUGGAUAUGAGCCUGGUCUCCUAGAAUAUUUUCAUUGGGAACACGACAGAAGUAAAAGGAAAUAUUGCACUUUCUGUUCUCAUGACUAAGGUGGCAGGGGUUCCAGAAGAACCUUUCAAGAUUAUCAGGAACAUCAGCAUGAGGGCCAGUUCACCUAACCCAGACCACAUGGAGACGAGCAGGUCUCCAGCUUGAAAGACUGCUUCCAGAAUGUAAGCUCCACGAGAACCAGGCUGUUUGUAUGCUGUGUUCACUGUAUAUCCCUAGGCCUCAGUGCCAGGCGCAGAGUAUCCAGUGAGUAUCUGCAGUGAAUGAAUGCGUUUGAUCCUUCCAACAAUCCUGGAGUUAUACGGGCAGACAUUAUCACCUUCAAGUUGUUGGUAUCAUCAUCGUAUUUGGUUUCUAGAACCUUAGGGACAUGGCCAUACAACAAAUCGGCCAAGAAGUGUGUCUAGAACUUGUAACUAAGUCCAGGGCUCUUUACGGUCCCCCUAACUAUAGCUGGAACAGUCUCCACCGCCUCCCGUCUGACAGGGAACCCCUGCGCAGGAGAGAGCGGCCGAGGGGCCACGGGGAGGGAGGGGCGUGGCAGCUGUCCUUUACUUGGGCCUCAACAGCUGGGGCAGGGCUGUUGAGGUCUCCAGAACAUCCCCUGCCCCAGGGGACCUGCUGCUGUGUGACAGAGCUGUUUGUACCCAGAGCCUAAAAUCCAUCAGCUAAGAUGAAGCAAGAAAGGGAAGCCAGAUCAGCCCUGAUGACUGAGCUUGAGGAGUGUCCCCCAUCUUCUGUCUCCUUGUCCCAGAACUGCUCAGGCCCAUGCAGCCAGGGUCUCCAACCUCCUGGACCCCUCUCUGUCCUUCAGCUUUCUCAGUCCUGGUUUUGAUGCUAAUGCUAUUCUAGAACCCCAAGGUAGAUAGGAAGGAGAGGGUCCAGGGCAUGGUCCUAGCAACACGUGGGCCUGAAUUCAGCUGGGCUGCUCCACUGGAGGCAAGGAAGAGACCAAGCUUUUGCCCCGAUGUCAUGCUCCAGCUGAGGCACCUACAUCGCUCACACCUCUAGCCUAGGAAGCUCAUCACCUUUCACCCUCCCCUAGCCUAUCAGCUCCUGCCAUGCCCUCCCUCACCAGGGGUCGAUGAGUAUCUCGACCAGGGCGGUGCAGAGCAGGACAACGCAGGAGCAGCUGAAGGCAGCCCCGCUCUGCUUUUCCUUCUCCACUGAGUAGCGGGUUUCCAUCUCGGGGUCCAUGAACCUCAUGGAAAGGAGGAAGAGGAGAAGCAUCGGCUCCAAAAAUAUGAAUCCAGACUGAUUACACGGCCAUCACCCCAAAUAAUAAUGGGACACUGGGCUCGUCAGAGCUGUGUGUACGGGUCCAAGAUAGCCCGGCCUUAAGCUUGGGUGUACCGCUGGCUGACAAUAGGACCCAUGUGACUCAUGUUCCCCAGCUCCAACUUUCUUCUCUGUAAAAUGACGUGGAAGGUCUGUUCUAGCACCAAGAACCUCUGUCCCCAAAGCAUCUGCUGGAGAGUGGGGCUAAUUGUGAGGACAGAAAAACCACAGGCUUCUAAAACUAUCUGCGCCCUCGUUGCCGAGUUACAUCAGCACCUGAUCUAGAGGCACCAGGGCAGUGAGAAUGGGGGUGCUGCCAACAAGCUCACCUCGGCAAGGCAGAGAUCCCUGUCCCAGAGCAUCUGCCUUCAUCAGUGAAUGUACUUGGGCAGCUCUUUAAUAAAGGACAGGUCCUGGAUGCUCUCCCAAGAUGGACCCUGUCCUCGGGGUGGGGGGGGGGGGCGCGGGUAGCACGUUCACUCCUCUGGAAAUCCCCCAUCUGUGCCUGGGACUUGUCGAGUCUGGACCUCACCAGAGAGGUGAGUCCACCCUGAAGUCUCACUUCCAAAACAGUCUUGUCAGAUCCUACAGAAUUUUCCACGGAUGUCCUCACUGCCCUCAAAGUCACAGGAUUCUGGGACAGGAGAGCUAGACAAGGCCUCAGAGCUGAGCACCUCUUCUGACCCUAUCCACGGCAACCCCAGUAGCUACUGAGGAGACAGUGGGGCCAGGGCAGGAAGUGCCACCCAAGGUGACACUGCUGAGAAGGAGUGGCGCGUGGGCCAGUGGCCAGGUCUCCUACCCCUGCACAGGACACUUCCGACAGCAGCCUUCACCUCCCUGCCGCCGUGCCCUGGCCCUCACCCGUACGCACCUGACCACCCUGCUCCUCAGGCUCCCCCGAUGUGGAGCCGCUGGUGUGGGUGCUCCCGUUGGGCUCCUUGGUCUCGAUGAGGGCGGGGGAGCUGGGCUUGGAGGAAGCUGGCGCUCCGUUUCGCAGGGCCUGCAGCGGGAAGAAGUGGCCAUCAGAGACACCAGACACAGUCUGCCCACCUGCCCCAGCAGAGCUGGUUGGUCUACUGUGGGUCUGAAAUGUUGCCGCAAAAGUUUAGAAGCCUGUAGGCUAAGAAAUGUCACUCCCUGACUCCUCCUCUAGAAUGUUAAUUUUAAAAUGCUGUACACUCCUGGUAUCUAUUUCCACUACUAGAAUUUUUCUAAGCAGAGAAAGACCCUCUUGUUCCAACCCGUUUCUAAAAUAGUAACUCAACACAGUGAUCCACAGAGGUCCUUUUUGUUUGUAGAACCUGUCAAAUGCCUUCCAAAAGUCUGACUAAAUCCCACAAGCCCGUUUCCCCAGUGAUGAGUCCUUUUCCUUGACCGAAUAAGUCAAACACUGUAACACGGUGAGACAAUCCGCUCAUUUCACGAGUAUUUGCUGAGUCUCUAAAUUUCUGGGGAUACGUGAAACAUCCUGUGUGAGCUCACAUUCUAGUGAGGAAAGGCGGACAGCAGGAAGACAAGUCAGUCAAAUUAGUACAGUACGUAAGAAGGGGGUAAGUGCUCUGGAGAGAGGUAAAGCAGGCAAGGGGCACAGGGAUCGCUGGGGAGCGAGACAGUAACGAGGUCAGGGGAGGUGUCACCAAGAGGAUGACAUUUCAGUGAUGACCUGAAGGAGUGAAUCCUGCAGCUCUCGGGGAAUGCCCCCCCACCCCGGGAAGAGAGAGAAGCUGGUGCAAAGGCCCUGCGGCAGGCGUGUGCUCAGAGCACUAGCCGGGAGGCCCGUGCCACCCCCAGGGCAGUGAAUGAGAGCAGAGCGAGGGCCUGGCUGUACCCGGCCUUCUCUCCGAGGCAGAGCCCAAGGCAGUGACGGGACGCCCCCUGGCGCUUCAGCGGGAGCACCGCCUGCUGUGGAGAAAGGAUGGCGGCCCGGUCAGCGGCAGGAUCACUGGCUGGAGACCCGUGAUCCGGCCGCGUGGCGGCUGCAAGGGCAUGGGGCGGGGGAGUCCGAGCCCUCCCUCGCAGGAGGGUCCACGGAACUGGCUUGUGGCGGGUAAAGAGAGGGGUCAAGCCUGUGUUCGGUGUUUGGUCUGAGCUGCCGAAAGAACAAAGCCGCCACCGAGGAGAUGGGAAGACAGAGGGCUGAGCAGGCCCCGGGCCAGGGACCGGGGACCGAGCUGCCUGUGUUCACGCAGGGGUGAGUGCAGGCAAGCCGGCUGGGCCUGAGGUGGAGACCCGGAGUCAUCAGAGGAGGCAUCUGAGAGCAGCCUGGCUGAGCCUCACAACAGAGCAGGGUGGGCAGGGAGAGGUCUGGAAGCUUUUCGGCACUCGGGAAGGACUCAUUGUGAGGACUGUCCUCACUCUCCUCGUCUGUCGCUUUAUCUCACAGAACCACGGGGACAGAUUUCUGCAAGUGGAACUGCGUUCGCUCCCGGGACUUCCCAAGGAGCACCCCUCACCACCUUCCUUCCUCCCACUGUCCCCCCCCAUGUUCCCUCCCCCCCAUAGAGUCUGCGCGUUCCUGCCUCCGACCCGGUGGUGGCCGAGCAGGUGAACGUCGCCUUAUCUGCCCACGUCUGAGGUGGAGACUUCCGGAACAGUCGCUCGGCUGGCCACACGAGCCACAGAGGCUGUGACACGUGGUUCCCCGGCCCGCGCACCCUAGCCGCGAACACGGGGGCACGAGCUACCGCAGCUAAAUGUUCAAGUUCCCCGAGAUGUUGAAUGAUGACUCAAGCACAACAGCUUCAUAAAGCCCACUCUGCCUCAGUGGCCUCAUCUGCACCCUCGGAGGGGUGGCCGGUGCAGCGAACAAAGCCUGACCCAAAGUACAUACCAUGCAAGGGUUGUUGAAACAAGCAAAAUAAAAUACAAGAUUAGAACAAA